AGCUUUGCGCAGUGGCAGUAUCAUAGCCAAUGAUGUUUAUCCGAGGCAUGAUUAUUACUAAUUGAAAACUUUUCCCAGUACCCCCCGUUACGACUUGAAAUAUAGUUGGCAUUAGCAAUUUUUGAUAGUCUCCACAGAAA
ensembl:snRNA U4 U4 spliceosomal RNA